rnacentral:lncRNA from 1 species
AAUCCAGCUACGUGUGGCCUCCAAACUUACUAUACUCCUGUCCACUGUUUCCAGGGGAGAACCUGCCAGUGUUUUCUGUUUCAUUCCAGGCAUUUCUUUGUGACAUCUGAGUUUUAUUUCUGCAUGUGAACUUCUUAAUGACCCAACAUUCUGGCAGAAAUGCUGCAAACCUGGGACUGGCCUGGUUAUGGUGGCUGCUGAGUUCUCUAAGGGCGGUGCUGCAGUUCAUUUUGAUUCUAAUCCAGAUUCCUCAGCUGGGUUUGAAGCAAGCCGUGUCCUUGAGAAUGUCUUGCAUACCAAUGCUGCAAGCUCUGGAGGCUUUAUCUUCUAGCUGCAGCUCUCACAAGACCUGCAGAUGACUUGGGAUGUUCAGAAAACAGAACCAUCCAGAAUAAGGAAGAGGCAUACGGUGGCAGCUGGAUCAGAAAGCUAACAUCAUCUGUGGGUGAGGAUAACCUGCCUGUGUGACUACAUCCUGUUUAAUUCUCAACAAAAAAAUAGUUUGGUAAUCUAAGUUACAAUGUUCAGGUUCUAGAGCCAAAUAAUUUGCCUAAAUUUCCAGAGUUGGAAGGAACAGACCCAAGAUUUGAGUUCAGGUGUAUCUGACUCCAAAGCCUGGUGCUGUCAGGACAGUAUGUCCAUGUUCUUCAUGCCACACAAGCCCUAUCCCUUUGUUUCACUUAUUAAUAGCUCUGGAAAAUUGCUAUCCUUCCUAAUCAAGUGUUUCUCUAAUUUGAAUGUGACAAGAAUCCCCAGGAGAUCUUGCUAAAAUGAAAAUUCCAGGGAGGGGCGCAUGAUUGCGCAUUUCCAACUCCCAGUAGCACAGAUACAGCUAUGAUGAGACACACUUUCUAUCCUACAGUCUUCAGAGACCUGGGUUCAAAGAUAUUGAGGUGAAUAAGAGAGGGUGACAAGAACACCCCAAGAAACUACUUUGAAGAAGAUGUCACCAGUCUAAGAAAAUAAGGGUCAAAGGGAGCAGAGGCUGGGCUUCUGUCUGCCUGGUACCAAAAUCUGUGCUGGUUCAAUCUAGUGAGCUUCCUUUUGAUGCAGAAGGAAAGAAUGCAGGUAAGGUGGCUUAUACACAUGGUCCUAAGGUGUGUUUUAAAGAGGUGAAUUUUGCACAAGGGUGGUUGGACAGGGUGGCAUGCUAACAGCUUUUCCCAUUCCCCCCACAUAUAUGUAAAACAACUCAACUUGGACUUCAGAAAACAACCUAACUAUACUCAGUGAUAAUGUUUUACAUCAAAACAUCAGGAUGCUCCUUAAAUCUCAAAGCAGCUUUAGGUUAGAUCUUGGUCCAAAUCAAUGCUAAACAUCUGUACUUCCGGAAUUUCUGUAUGGAUUGCAGCCCUGAUGUAGGAAAGUGAAGAUGAGUCUGUCUGCCCAGCAAGACCAGAGAGUGAGAAAUUAUGUGAAGUUUAUCCUGGG